rnacentral:lncRNA from 1 species
GCCGCCCCGCGCGACCCGGCCCGGGAGCGCAGCCACACUGCGGUCUACGCGGUGUGCGGUGUCGCCGCUCUACUCGUGCUGGUCGGCAUCGGGGCGCGCCUGGGCCUGGAGAGAGCGCACAGCCCCCGCGCUCGGCGCACGGUGACCAGGACACUGACAGAACUUCUCAAGCAGCCAGGUCCCCAAGAACCACUGCCUCCGCCUCUGGGUCCACCCUUGGGUAACUGCGUCCAGGUACAAAUGGGUGACGGUGUUCUCCGGGGUUCCCCCCACAACAGCACAGGUGAGUGUUAGGUGAGCAUUGGCUCACCUACACCAAGGCGGAGGAGGAGGAGGUGGGAGAGUUGGCUAGCUGGAGGAGAGUGGAACA